UACAGGGGGUGCUAGCGUUGUUCGGAAUUACUGGGCGUAAAGGGCGCGUAGGCGGCUUAACAAGUCAGGUGUGAAAUCUCGGGGCUUAACUCCGAAAGUGCAUUUGAAACUGUUAGGCUAGAGUGCAGUAGAGGUUGGUGGAAUUCCCAGUGUAGAGGUGAAAUUCGUAGAUAUUGGGAGGAACACCGGUGGCGAAGGCGGCUCUCUGGGACGGUACUGACGCUGAGACGCGAAAGCGUGGGGAGCGAACAGG
rnacentral:rRNA from 1 species